CCCCAAAGCAUAUGGUACUGUGGAUGCCUGCCAGGGAGUUCUGUGAACUGAAGUGAGGCAUGAAUGAACAUCACCAGCCAACAUGUUAGAUGUAACAGCACCAGAACCAGAACACAGGCAAUGUGAAGGAGAUUGCAGCAGGAGCAAAGAAAGGAAGGGAGAGAAGAAGAUGGAAUCUUACUGGAGAAUCACAAACGACAAAUAGGCACACUCUCUUUGAACUUGGCUUCAGGAGUAUGUCCAUCAAUCCAAGCAAUCCAGGCUGCCAGAGACUGCAGAAUCCAUCAACCUAGGACCCAA
rnacentral:lncRNA from 1 species